UCUUCUGUGUUCACUGGCAUUCCAACAGCCAGAGUGCCUGAUCACUUUUCAAAAGCUAUUGUAUUUUGCAAGUUUUCCCAAGGGGGGGAGAAAAGUGUGAGAAGUGCAUAGGCCAUCCCAGAAUCCCACCAACCCUACUUACUUCUUCCUUUGCCCCAUAAAUGAUACGAGGACAUUUUUGACUUAAUUUGAGCUGGAUCCUUCAGACGGCACACAGAAAUCCAGAGUCGAUCCUCUUUUACAAGCAUAAAAAACGAGCAUUGUUGGUGGCACUGGGAGACUGAACCAAGGCUUUGGCUGGACCCAAAGCAGUCGCCCCCUGGAUAAACAGCUGCUGAUGCAACUAAAAUAAGCGCCAGAGACCAAAAGGUGGAUAUGUUUGCUGGAAAACAGAGAUGGAAAAAAGCCCUUCAAGCGACACACAGAUGACUAAUGUAUUUCAGACUCCAGCAUCAGAGAGUAGCAAACGAUAUUUUCUUGUGAUUUUAUUUUCCCCCUGAGAACUACAUCAAUAGUAUAAGUGCUACAUUGAUAAAAGAAAUUAUUCUAUUCUGAAAUGAAAGAUUCGAAAAAAAUGAA